rnacentral:rRNA from 1 species
UACAGAGGCCUCAAGCGUUGUUCGGAUUCAUUGGGCGUAAAGGGAGCGUAGGCGGUCGGGUAAGUCGGGUGUGAAAUCCUGGGGCUCAACCUCAGAACUGCACUCGAUACUGCUUGGCUAGAGAGUUGGAGAGGUGAGUGGAAUUCACGGUGUAGCAGUGAAAUGCGUAGAUAUCGUGAGGAAGACAAGCGGCGAAGGCGGCUCACUGGACAACAUCUGACGCUGAGGCUCGAAGGCCAGGGGAGCAAACGGG